GCGGAUAUGGUUGAAUGGUAAAAUUUUUCUUUGCCAAGGAGAAGUCGCGGGUUCGAUUCCCGCUAUCCGCC
rnacentral:tRNA from 1 species